ensembl:lncRNA
UGAAAAUAUGUCUUCCUCAACUACCUUAACUAUAGAUUAUGUAAUAUUACUUAGUUUUUUAGUAUUUAUAUAUCAAUAUUUUUGUGGAUAUUGACAUACUUUCUGGUCAUGUUUACAGAAAGUAUUAUUUGUAGGAUGAUUUACAUUCUCUGGUCUCUUUCUUUUAUUUUUCUUGUUGCCUCUGGAGCAAGACACUUUAUGUGUGUAGUGUAUUUUUACACUACACACACCUUAUAGAAUCUAAAAAGCAGAUUCCUAAGUCUUAACCUCCAGGGAAGCUUUGAUUCAUAAUUGAUCUUAGGAUGCAAUCAGGUGUGAAAUGAGGAGACCCCAGCCCUCACAGGAUGUUAAGCCUCAACCAGCCUUUAUCAACAGGGCAGUGAAUCAACAGCAGGCCUGUGCAGACAGACACCCAUAAGACAUUCUGGAGCUGUUUACCGUUACCUUGGUCAUGGCUAUGACCUCCACAGUGGAGCGACCUUUCAACCCGUGCGCCAUGGCAACGCCCUGCAGCCUUGCUCCCGAGGCCUGCGGGAUCCUGGGAAGUUUUCUCCAUGAUGCUGUUGAGGCCAAGAUGUCCCUCCUCGACCCAACUACUGUUAAAAUAAUGACGCAUGAUGGUACAGCUUUAAAGAAGCAAAG